rnacentral:misc_RNA from 1 species
GAUGAAGAACGUAGCGAAAUGCGAUAAGUAAUGUGAAUUGCAGAAUUCAGUGAAUCAUCGAAUCUUUGAACGCACCUUGCGCCCUUUGGCCAUUCCGAAGGGCAUGCCUGUUUGAGUAUCAUGAACACCUCAACUCUUUAUGGUUUUCCAUGAUGAGCUUGGACUUUGGGGGUUUUGCUGGCCUAUGGUCGGCUCCUCUAAAAUAAAUCAGCUUACCGGUGUUUGGUGGGUAUCAUGGGUGUGAUAACUCUCUACGCUUGUGGUUUUUCCACCAGGUAACCUUCGACAGCGGAGGUUCACUGGAGCUCAUAGAUGUCUCUCCUCAGCGAGGACAGCCCUUUGAAUGUUUGAUCUCAAAUCAGGUAGGACUACCCGCUGAACUUAAGCAUAUCAAUAAGCGGAGGA